rnacentral:rRNA from 1 species
GACGUAGGGGGCCAGCGUUGCUCGGAAUUACUGGGUGUAAAGGGUUCGUAGGCGGUGCGGCAAGUUGGGAGUGAAAUCUCUGGGCUCAACCCAGAGGCUGCUUCCAAAACUGCUGUGCUUGAGUGUGGGAGAGGCGCGUGGAAUUGCAGGUGUAGCGGUGAAAUGCGUAGAUAUCUGCAGGAACACCCGUGGCGAAAACAGGUAGCUGGGGCUGUGCUGACACUGAGACACGAAAGCCAGGGGAGCAAACGGG